GACGAACCGUGCGAACGUUGUUCGGAAUCACUGGGCUUAAAGGGUGCGUAGGCGGACAUUCAAGUCAGGGGUGAAAUCCUCCAGCUUAACUGGAGAACUGCCUCUGAUACUGGAUGUCUCGAGUGAGGUAGGGGCGUGCGGGACUGAUGGUGGAGCGGUGAAAUGUGUUGAUAUCAUCAGGAACUCCGGUGGCGAAAGCGGCGCGCUGGACCUUAACUGACGCUGAGGCACGAAAGCCAGGGGAGCGAACGGG
rnacentral:rRNA from 1 species